CUGCAUUUGAGAUGAGCCUGGGAGGACUCGUAUGACUUUGAUAAGUACAGAGGGAUGGGAAGCAUCUUCCCAUCAGAGCGGUAUAUGAAGAAAGCGUGGUGUGAGGCCUCUGUGCGGUGUGUUUGAGGGUGUAUGAGCAGUCCAGUCUCUCACUGCACCUGUAGAGAGGUGAGAGAGCCUCUUGAAAAGCUGGACUAGAGAGGCUGGAGGAAUGGGAAAGCCAGUUUGAAGCAGUGGGAAUCAACCUUUGAAAGCUUUGGGUUUUAUAUCACAUUGGAAGUGGAUUCUUCUGUGCCUCCUUUUUCCCCUUUGACAUUGAUAUGAUGAAGAGAUCUAAAAGAUUACCUGUAUCCUCCUUCUGGAUUUGGAUGAUCAAUUCUUCAUGGGCAAGCUUUCUUAGAUGAAGAAGCCAGACAUGGAAGACACCAUUGGAAGUAUUUGAUACACACAUGCCUUUCUUUGAGACCAGUUAACAGAUUUUGAAUUCCUUGAGGAACUGGACCACUUCUUCCUUAUUGCUGGGUACCAGGUACCUCGUAUGCAUAAUAUGAGGCAGCAUUACAGCAAAGCCUUCAGGAGUUAUCCUUUCCUCUGAAUAACACCAGAAAGAGCAUCUAGUGGAAAGAUGUUGUGUGACUCUUGGAGUCAAAGGAAGGACUGACCAACCAGGCCAUGGGAAGCCAGCCAGAGCAGCUUGGAAAUCUCACCACAGGGGUUCUUUGGCUCUGUUGAUGCUACCACUGGAUGACAAAGCUCCAGCUUCUUCCUUACCCCAUGGUCUUUGCUCAGCAUUCAAAUUCCCAGGAGAACACGGCUCUUGCAGCUUGGGUUACAAGACACCUCUGGGACCACUGGCUCUAUCAUGUGGAAGGCGGAAGAUAUAAUUUUCCACAGAAAGUGGGGAUACCAGAAGAAAAGGCAAAUAAGUCCUGGAUAGACCAAAAUUACAAAUGUUUAUUGGAGUAUGGGAAAUACAGAUUCAAACUGUACCUUUUCUAUCCAUUAUUUGUGUAACUUUAAUUUACUUGAGAUUACUUUCUCCCACUCCAAAAUGAAAAUUAUAUUAGUUUCUUCCUUAUAGUGUUGUUGUGAGAAUUAAAUGAGAUAAUAGAGGCAAAUCUUGGAGGUACUGUGGGUUCAGUUCAAGACCACUGCAAUAAAGGGAAUAUUGCAAUAAAAUGAGUCACACAACUUUUUUUGGUUUCCUAGUGUGUGGAAAAGUUUGUUUAUACUAUACAGGAGUCCAAUAAGUGUGCAAUAGCAUGAUGUCUAAAAAACCCAAUGUAUAUACCUUAACUAAACAAUAUUGCUAAACAAUGCUAAUAAUCAUCUAAGUCUUCAAUAAGUCAUAAUCUUUUGGCUGGUGGAGGGUCUUGCUUCAAUGUGAUGACUGCUGACUGAUUGAUGUGGUGUGUGUUGAAGGUUGGGGUGGCUGUGGCAGUUUCUUAAAGUAAGAAAAUAACAAAGUUUGCUGCAUACAUUGACUCUUCAUUUCACAAAAAAAUUUAUCUUAGUGUACGAUACUGGUUGAUAGCAUUUUAGGCACAUAGAACUUCUUUCGAAAUUGGAGUCAGUCCUCUCAAAUCCUGCUGUUGCUUUAUUAACUAUUAUACACUUGUGUAAUAGAAAUUCUUGGUUGUCAUUUCAACAAUGUCUACAGCAUUUUGACCAGGAGUAGAUUCUAUCUCAAGAAAUCCCUUUCUUUGCACAUCCAUAAGGAGCAACAUCUCAUCCAUUUAUAUUUGAUCAUGAGAUUACAGCAGUUUAAUUGCAUCUUCAGGCUUCACUUCUGCUUCUACUUUUCUUGCUAUUUGUACCACAUCGGCAGUGACUUGCUCCACUGCAGUCUUGAACUCCUGAAAGGCAUCCAUGAGUUGGAAUAAACUCUCAAAAUCCUGUUAAUGUUGAUAUUUUCACCUUCUCCCAUAAAUCAUGAAUAUUCUUAAGAACAUCUAGAAAGGUGAAUCCUUUCCAGAAGGCUUUCAAUAUACUUUGCCCAGCUCCAUCAGAGGAAUCACUAUCUAUGGCAGCUAACGUCUUAUGAAACAUGUUUCUUAAAUAGGAAGACUUGAAAGGUGAAAUUAUUCCUUGAUCUCUGGGCCGCAGAAAGGAUGUUUUCUUAGCAGGUAUGAAAACAACAUUAAUCUCCAUGUACAUCUCCAUCAGAGCUCUUGGGUGACUAGGUGCAUUGUCAAUGAGCAGUGAUAUUUUAAAAGAAAUCUGUUUCAUAGCAGUAUGUCUCAACAGUAGGCUUAAAAUAUUCAGUAAAACAUACUGUAAACAGAUAUGCUGUCAUCCAGGCUUUGUUGUUUCACUUCUAGAGCACACGGGGAGUAGAUUUAGCGUAAUUCUAAAGGGUCCUAAGAUUUUUGACAUGUUCAGUGAGUGUUGGCUUUAACUUCAAGUCACCGGCUGUGUUAGCUCCCAACAAGAGGGUCAGCCUGUCCUUUGAAACUUUGAAGCCAGGCACUGAUUUCUGCUCUCCAGCUACGACAGUGCUAGAUGGCAUUUUCUUCCAAUAUUAGGCUAUUUCAUCUACAUUGAAAAUCUGUUGUUUAGGGUGGCCACCUUCAUCAGUGAUCUUAGCUGGAUUUGGAUAACUUGCUGUAGCUUCUACCUUGGCAUUUGGCUGCUUUACCUUGCAGUUAUAUGUUGUGGAGAUGGCCUCUUUUCUUUCUUGAGAUGG